rnacentral:lncRNA from 10 species
GAUUUCAAUCGCUUUGAGGCCAAUUGUAGGAAAGGAAAUAUCUUCUUAUAAAAACUAGACAAAAUCAUUCUCAGAAACUACUUUGUGAUGUGUGUGUUCAACUCACAGAGUUUAACCUUUCUUUUCAUAGAGCAGUUUGGAAACCCUCUGUUUGUAAAGUCUGCAAGUGGAUACUUUGACCUCUUUGAGGCCUUCAUUGGAAACGGGAUUUUUCUUAUAAAACUAGACAGAAGAAUUCUGAGAAACUUCUUUGUGAUGUGUGCAUUCAACUCACAGGGUUGAACCUUACUUUCCAAAGAGCAGUUCUCAGACACUCUUUUUGUAGAACUUCCAAGUGCAUACUUAGAGUGCUUUGAAGCCUACGGUAGACAACUUAAUAUCUUCAUGUAAAAACUAGACAGAACCUUUCUCAGAAAGCACGUUGCGAUCUCUGCAUUCAACUCACAGAGUUUCACCUUUCUUUCAUUAGAGCACUUAUGGAACACUCUCUUUGUAGAAUUUGCCAGGG